rfam:Nematostella vectensis strain CH2 x CH6 NEMVEscaffold_9_Cont1981, whole genome shotgun sequence.
UCCUCGGUAGUAUAGUGGUGAGUAUCCCAGCAUGUCACACGGGUGACCAGGGUUUGAUUCCCCGCCGGGGAG